rnacentral:rRNA from 1 species
UACGUAGGGGGCGAGCGUUGUCCGGAUUCAUUGGGCGUAAAGAGCUCGUAGGCGGUUUGGUAAGUCGGGUGUGAAAACCCCAGGCUCAACCUGGGGACGCCACCUGAUACUGCUAUGACUUGAGUCAGGUAGGGGAUCACGGAAUUCCUGGUGUAGCGGUGAAAUGCGCAGAUAUCAGGAGGAACACCGGUGGCGAAGGCGGUGAUCUGGGCCAGUACUGACGCUGAGGAGCGAAAGCGUGGGUAGCAAACAGG